UUUUUAGUAUAAGUGUAUCCCAUGCAAUAUUUGGGAUACACUUAUGCUAAAA
rfam:Ovis aries breed Texel chromosome 13, whole genome shotgun sequence.